CUCUUCUCUUCUCUUCUCUUCUCUUCUCUUCUCUUCUUUCCUUUUCUUUUCUUUCCUUUUCUUUUCACCCUUUGCUGCCUGGUUAUUGUGAAGUUACGAGAGUUCUCUCUAUUUUUUAAGUGCUUCGUGUAUUUACACUCUCAGCCCCCCGACUGGGAAAACAUCUUCAUCGUCUUCCUCACCAUGGUGUCUGCUCCGUCAUGUUCAGGGCACUCUGGCUAAUAUGACAGUUCUGGUGGCGCUGUAAGGACUCGGUUUCUUCAAUGCCAGCAACUUCCUCUAUCAGAAGACUCAGCCUUUCCUUCUCGUGCAGUUAUCUGCCUCCUGGAGGAAAUCAGGAUGAUGUCAAGGAUGAUGAUGGUCUUCAUCUCUGGAAAAGACCACCAAUGAGGCAGCAGGUUACACACAAUCAGCGGCUGGACGCGCUGUUUGGGCCCAGCGGCCGCAUUGCUCGUGGUUCAGGCAGUCUCCUUCUGGAUAAAAGACUUUGGAUACUCCAGGAGUUGGCCUAAUGCCUUCAGCAUGCCAGCAUCGAUAGCCAUCUGGGUCUGUUGGUCUGUUCCUGUGGCAACGCUGCGCUCAGUGCAGAGAGAAGAUGUCAAGGCAUUGAGAUCCCAGUUGGUCACAAACUCUAAGAGCCUGUACAGAAGCCCUGUGGUCGUCACAUGAUGAUGUGCUUAGUGCAUCCUUCAGUGAGGUGGGACAGGGCAGGGCCCAGGAGGUGUCUGAGAGGGAUCCCAUUAUUCCAAUGCCACAGGAGCUGAGAGGGUAUAGACAGCACCUACCUCACUACCUCCGCACAAGGUUAGGGAUUCUUCUUUCGGCAUAUGUUGGACAAAGCCCAUAUGAUGUUCCGAAAAAUGUGAUUGGUAUGCUUGUCGAAAUAAGGUUGAGGCAGGCACAGGAUGGCACUGUUGGAAAUGAUAUUGUCUCUGGAUUCUGGGCUGUCACCAGGCACAUUACUAAGAGUCCACACUGCCUGCUCACACAGGUCAGGUGCAGGGGAGACAGGAGUCCAGUCGGGGGCUGGAUGGCACCCCUUUUCACAACAGCUCUGGUCUGCUCUGAAAGCCCAGGUCGCAUCAAACUUCAGGCUGGGAAGAAGUGCCUCCUUCAAGAACAAUACCAAGUUGGGAAUGAGUUCUGCCGCAACAUGCAAUUUUAGUGAGGGGCUCCUCUCCCGGGGUACCACUUUCCUGGCAGCCUGCGUGGCCAGGAGACACAGGAUUGGAUCUGAGCUAUUCGCCUUUUGACUAUGUCUUCCAGAGUGAGGUUGGACACUUUGACUGGUACUUGAGAACCCACAUCAUUGGAGAAUUGGCUGAUAUUUCUUUUUCUUUAAGGAAACAUGGCAGUGUACAGGCAGAUAUGAUGCUGAGAGGAGCUGAGAGUUCUACAGUUUAAUCCAAAGGAAGCCAGGAAGAAGCUGUCUGUACUGGGUGGAGGUUAAACAUAAGACCUCCAAGCCAACCUCCACCAGCGAUGCACUUCCUCCAACAAGGCGACACCUGCUUCAACAAAGUCGCACAUCCUAACAGUGCCACUUCCCAUGGGUCAGUCAUAUUCAGACUACCACAUCUGUAAAUAUGUGAUUUCUCUAGUGAACAAACAUACCAUAGGAACUGUAUUUGAGUUUUGUCCCUGGGUGGUGGGAUUAAAGAUGUGGGCCACUACCACAUUGCUCACUGUAACUCUAGCAUUUGGAAAACAAGUAACUUACAGAGAUCUGCUUAUCUCUUCUGGGAUUAAAGGCAUGGGCUACUACCAACCCUGCUCAAAUAUUUUAUCUUAUCUCCAAUCCCUGCAACUCUUAGAGACUUAGAAAACAAGUUUGAGCUGUAUUGAUCUUUUAAUUUACUUAAGACAUUUUAAAUCUCUUUGUUGUUUUUGAUGCCAAACAACAAAAAUAUCCUUUUUAUUUAAGAAAACUCAAAAGUUGAUGUCUAAGAUGUCCAAGUGGGCUGCAUGGCAAUCUACAGUCUAACAUUCUAACAUGGGAUUGAGACACGUGGUUUAAGAAAACACAUUUUUCAUUUCAGGACAACAAGGCAAGUGUGACUUUAAUGUUCUCUUGUGUCCUUCUGGCCCUAUACACUUGACCCCUCUUGCACUUUGUCUUACCUGAGAUAAAGUUCCAAUACCUAGAAGCUGAAUAUUUACCUCCUGAAGAGGCCAACCUGGAUGCCAAGAGUUUGGUAAAAUUACUGUUACAUAUAUGCCCCCGUGUCUACUAAACCUUCAAUCCCAAUGCCAUUUAAUGGUAUUUUUAGCUUUGGUCUCUGAUAAUGUAUGGCAAUUUGCCAAGAUCUUUGUUUUCUUGUCUUUCCUGAAUGUUUUGUUUUCUCUCCUGGAACUGUUUUGUCCUUGAUUACAUCCACAGCCAUGUUAUUAUUAUUAUUAUUAUUAUUAUUAUUAUUAUUAUUAUUAUUAUUAUUAUUUUGGUUUUUUGAGACAAGGUUUCUCUGUGUCCCAUGUUAUUUUUAAUUGCUCUGUGGAUGAGUUUCCCUGACGCUGACAGAAAAUGGUUAAAUCAAAUUUGAUGUCAGAGAUGAUGGGAGGACCGGUCAGGUGUUUCCCAGUGGCAAAGGGUUACACUGCCUGCCCCUUGUUGAUCUGCAUUCAUUAGACCAAUGGUGGCUUUUGUCUCACCUUCUGCAUUACUCCCGAAGCCUGGGGCCUUCUCUUUAAAUUAUCUCUUUAAAAAAAAUUAUUUCUUGCCUAUAAUCCCUUUUCAAAUGACCUGGUUUACCACCAUUAAACCAUGUGGCAUUUCUAUUUUUCUAAAA